AUUGUAUUGACCAGGCCCUUGACUCCUCCCUGAACAUAACAUCAUACCCGCUCUCCUCUCCGUUCAAGCACUGGAAAACCAACCACUGGGAUCUGGGACAAUCACACACAUCACAGCACCACUCACCAUCACUGUACAGCCUCCUGGAGGAGUACAUCCAGGAGGCUCUCCCAACAGGGUUUCAUCCGCCCAUCCAUUUCCCCUGCGUCAGCAGGUUUCUCCUUUGUGGCCAAGAAGGAGGGGGGUCUUCGUCCAUGUAUUGACUACAUAGGUCUCAAUGCCAUCACCACCAAGUACCACUACCCCCUUCCGUUGGUGCCGGCCACCAUUGAACAGCUCCGCGGGGCCUGUUUUUUUUUUUACCAAUCUGGACCUGCGGAUUGCCUACUAUAUGAUCCUCAUCCGGGAGGGGGUUGAAUGGAAUGGACUGCCUUCAUCAGUGUCUGGGAACUACGAGUACUUGGGGAUGCCUUAUGGAUUAGCCAAUGCUCCAUCAGUGUUCCAGGCAUUCGUGAACGAGGUGUUUCGGGACAUGCUUGGGUGUCAGGUGGUCGUGUAUAUCGACAACAUCCUGAUCUACUAGACCACCUUAGAGGAGCACAUCACCCAUGUCUGGGUAGUCCUGGAACGCCUCCUGGAGAACCAUCUGUACGUCAAAGCGGAGAAGUGCCAGUUCCAUCAGGCCGCUGUCUCCUUCUUGGGAUAUCGAAUCAGCCCACAGGGAGUGGUUAUGGAGGAGAGGAAGGUGGUCCCCAUAAGUUGGUGUGGAAUCCUGCAGCCGAUGAGGCCUUCCGCCUACUGAAGGGGCUUUUCACCUCUGCCACGAGACACCCAGAUUCUACACUACCCUUCAUGGUGGAGGUGGAUGCCUCAGAAGUGGUUGUGGGGGCCAUCCUGUCACAACGUCAAGAAUGCUGAAGCCACCAUUUGAAGCAUCAGAGUGCUGUUUUUUUGGUCUUGGUGGUGACGUCGGGUCCGGGGCCGCCGCCGAUGGAACCACGGGGUGCCUCAGCUAGCUCGUCGGGCUUCCACGGUUGGCUCAGCAGGCUCCCAUUCCACGGUAGGCCUCUGCUGGAUCGUCAGGGUUUUACGCCUCAGCCAGAUCAUCAGGCUCCCACGCCUCAGCAGAUUCGCCAGGCUCCCACUUCCCAGCGGGAUCAUCAGGCUUUCACACCUCAACCGGAUCGUCAGGCUCCCAUGUCUCAGCUGGUUCGCCAGGCUUCCACGCCUCUGACGGUUCGUCGGGCUUCUACGCCCCAGCCGGCUUGUCCAGCGCCCAUGCCUCGGCCGGCCCGUCAGGCUUGCCCUGGUGGGACGCCGGGUGACGCCCCUAGAGGGGGGUGGUACCGUCACACCUGCUCCCGAUCUCCCGAGCGCCAGGCUGCCCAGCGCUGCUGAUAUAGUUAUAUGCCUGCCAUAUGGAGGUAUCUAGCUGCAAUCAUAUCUACCUAAUGGAGGAAGGAUGGCCAGCCACACAGGAGGGUGAUUUUUACUAAGGAGGAGAAGGAGGCUGUGCUGACCGAGAUGCAUGCUGGCCAUUUGGGAGUGAAGCGCAUGAUUGCCAAAAUCAACCUACACUUCUUCUGACGGGGAAUUGUCAUAAAAUAACCUUUUGUUUAUCACAGUCUAUUAUAUCUGAAAUUAUUAUGAUUUCAAUGAAUGUUCUGUCAGAGAACACACAAUUUGAGUUUUUUUUAAGUUUGAGAGGGCGAAGACUGGCGCUGGAGGUGAAGCCCAUCA